GGAAGGAUUCAGGAGCUCACUUCCUCCCCUCUUUGUUCCUCCUCACUGAUUGGCUGCUGUCUGCACUCGUUGUCACUCCUCGUUAGCCUGAUUGAAGUCACCUGAUCACACUACAUUUAAAGACUGCUCUCCCUCAGGCUCACUCUUUUUUGACCUUCACACGGAGCAGCAGGUCAGUGAUGAUCAGUGAUGCAUCCUGAAGACAUAUUAAGAGAGAAACUGGCUGCAUCCUGACCUGAUGAUGAAAGUUAACCUGUACAUUUGAACCUCAUGCUCAACACUUUGUGACUUCUCUCUACCAUCUCUUCUUAAAUAUGCAGGGCUUUCUCAGGCCUCACCUGUGGCUACUUCUUUGAGAAGAAAUAAGCUGGCUGAUCACAUGUGGGCACAUCCUUAUAACAACAUUCUGAACUGUUCGAUAUUUCAGCUCCAGUUUGGUUUGAUACAGAUUCAUCAUGUGCUAAAUUGAUUUUGUUUUUAAUAGUGUUUGAAUGGCAUCCUUUAUUCCUGAAUGUGAAUAAAAUAUUUCAUGACUG